UCGGACUGUAGGCUGCAACUCGCCUACACGAAGUCGGAAUCGCUAGUAAUCGCGAAUCAGCAUGCCGCGGUGAAUACGUUCCCGGGCCUUGUACACACCGCCCGUCACACCAUGGGAGUUUGUAACGCCCAAAGUCGGUGGCCUAACCUUUAUGGAGGGAGCCGCCUAAGGCGGGACAGAUGACUGGGGUGAAGUCGUAACAAGGUAUC
rnacentral:rRNA from 1 species